GUCUAUGGCCAUGCCACCCUGAACAUACCCGAUCCCGUCUGAUCUCGGAAGCUAAGCAGGUUUGGGCCUGGUUAGUACUUGGAUGGGAGACCACCUAGGAAGACCAGGUGUUAUAGCUG
rnacentral:rRNA from 1 species